AGUGAACGCUGGCGGUAGGCCUAACACAUGCAAGUCGAACGGCAGCACAGUAAGAGCUUGCUCUUACGGGUGGCGAGUGGCGGACGGGUGAGGAAUACAUCGGAAUCUACUUUUUCGUGGGGGAUAACGUAGGGAAACUUACGCUAAUACCGCAUACGACCUACGGGUGAAAGCAGGGGAUCUUCGGACCUUGCGCGAUUGAAUGAGCCGAUGUCGGAUUAGCUAGUUGGCGGGGUAAAGGCCCACCAAGGCGACGAUCCGUAGCUGGUCUGAGAGGAUGAUCAGCCACACUGGAACUGAGACACGGUCCAGACUCCUACGGGAGGCACCAGUGGGGAAUAUUGGACAAUGGGCGCAAGCCUGAUCCAGCCGUACCGCGUGGGUGAAGAAGGCCUUCGGGUUGUAAAGCCCUUUUGUUGGGAAAGAAAAGCAGCAGGUUAAUACCCCGCUGUUCUGACGGUACCCAAAGAAUAAGCACCGGCUAACUUCGUG
rnacentral:rRNA from 1 species